rnacentral:rRNA from 1 species
CCUACGGGAGGCAGCAGGGGGGAAUUUUGGACAAUGGGCGCAAGCCUGAUCCAGCAAUGCCGCGUGCAGGAAGAAGGCCUUCGGGUUGUAAACUGCUUUUGUACGGAACGAAACGGCUCUGGUUAAUACCUGGGGCUAAUGACGGUACCGUAAGAAUAAGCACCGGCUAACUCCGUGCCAGCAGCCGCGGUAAUACGGAGGGUGCAAGCGUUAUCCGGACUUACUGGGUUUAAAGGGAGCGUAGGCGGGCAGUUAAGUCAGUGGUGAAAUCUCUGGGCUUAACCCGGAAACUGCCAUUGAUACUAUCUGUCUUGAAUAUUCUGGAGGUAAGCGGAAUAUGUCAUGUAGCGGUGAAAUGCUUAGAUAUGACAUAGAACACCCAUUGCGAAGGCAGCUUACUACGGAAUGAUUGACGCUGAGGCUCGAAAGCGUGGGGAUCAAACAGGAUUAGAUACCCUGGUAGUCCACGCCCUAAACGAUGAUUACUCGACAUUAGCGAUAUUACUGUUAGUGUCUAAGCGAAAGCAUUAAGUAAUCCACCUGGGAAGUACGACCGCAAGGUUGAAACUCAAAGGAAUUGACGG